rnacentral:lncRNA from 1 species
AUCAUACACGGAUGUACCAUAACCAACACUCUUGGCACACAGACUUGGUUAAGUGGCACCAAGUCUUCUACAAUGAAAUGUCUGGUUUUAUGGACGACUGUCGUGCCAAUCCUGGUAUUAUGGACAAAUUCAGAAGUGUUGAAGUUCAGGACCGGUUCAGGCACUACACCUUCAUGGGCCACAAUCCAGAUGCAAUGCCUUCUCCUCCGCCUCCGCCAAGCCUCAGAGAUCCUGAUAGAGAUGACGAGGAGUCCUGUGGUGGCUAUAAUCCACAUUAAACCAUCAUCAUUUCAUUUCACUGCAUUUCAUUGCAUGUUGCUUGAGUUUUUUUUCUUCAGAUUAGUUGCACCUUAUAUGUCUUGGCUUAUGUAAUUUUUUAAAUACUUUCUACUAGUUAAAUGUUUAUUUCCUUCUGCUUACUUCUGGUGUUAUUACCCUUAUUUGUCAUUCUUUGUGAGUGAUUCUUUACAUUUUAAGCUUCCUUCUUUGUGAUUGUUAGCUUCUUUAUCAUUUUUGUUGUGUCCAGCUACAACAUGUUGCCUUGAUAAAACUGUUUUUUUCUUCUUUUUGAUGUUGACAAAGGGGGAGAAAUGCA